rnacentral:rRNA from 1 species
UACGAAGGGGGCUAGCGUUGUUCGGAAUCAUUGGGCGUAAAGGGCGCGUAGGCGGCUUUGCAAGUGACGGGUGAAAUCCCUCGGCUUAACCGAGGAACUGCCUGUCAGACUGUGAGGCUUGAGACCGGGAGAGGUGAGUGGAAUUCCCAGUGUAGCGGUGAAAUGCGUAGAUAUUGGGAGGAACACCAGUGGCGAAGGCGGCUCACUGGACCGGAACUGACGCUGAGGCGCGAAAGCGUGGGGAGCAAACAGG